GAAGAUUUCAAAGCCCAUCUGUGCACACCAGUGGGAAGAUUUCAAAGCCCAUCUGUGCACACCAGUGGGAAGGAGCUUGCUUGCCCUUCGUUCCCCUCCAACUCCUGCUUUCUGCAGAGGAGGAAGCCUGAAGACUACAGGUCUAGCUCCCAGCUCUCAUUUGUUGGAGAACAAAGACUGCCUUCAGAGAUCAGCAGGGACAGACCAGCUGGAGCUCCCUCAUCUAAGGCUUCCAUCCCGGAGAGGGUGCUCUCUCAAGUCAUCCUCCAGGACUGAUUAGAAGCUGCAGGAAGAGGGCAGCUCAGUCCCUCUCCAGCAUCUUAGACUCUGGACUUGAGCUGUGGACAGGAGCUCUUUCCAGCCUCAGAGACCUGCCGCACUGGUUCAUUUAAAUCCCGUGUGAUGAUUCGUUUUAACUUGUUGGGUCCAGUUAAGGUGGUUAAUUCUGAACUGACAGGUUUGCUAAGAGAUUUGUACUCAUACCAACUACAGAUACAAUGCCA
rnacentral:lncRNA from 1 species